UACGGAGGGGGCUAGCGUUGUUCGGAAUUACUGGGCGUAAAGCGCGCGUAGGCGGCUUUGUAAGUUAGAGGUGAAAGCCCGGAGCUCAACUUCGGAAUUGCCUUUAAGACUGCAUCGCUCGAAUCAUGGAGAGGUGAGUGGAAUUCCGAGUGUAGAGGUGAAAUUCGUAGAUAUUCGGAAGAACACCAGUGGCGAAGGCGACUCACUGGACAUGUAUUGACGCUGAGGUGCGAAAGCGUGGGGAGCAAACAGG
rnacentral:rRNA from 1 species